GACGUAGGGGGCCAGCGUUGUUCGGAAUUACUGGGUGUAAAGGGUUCGUAGGCGGUGCGGCAAGUUGGGAGUGAAAUCUCUGGGCUUAACCCAGAGGCUGCUUCCAAAACUGCUGUGCUUGAGUGUGGGAGAGGCGCGUGGAAUUGCAGGUGUAGCGGUGAAAUGCGUAGAUAUCGGGAGGAACACCAGUGGCGAAGGCGGCGAUCUGGGCAGAUACUGACGCUGAGGUGCGAAAGCUAGGGUAGCAAACGGG
rnacentral:rRNA from 1 species